ACCAUUUCUUUAAAAGCAACUCGCACAGUCUGGACGCCACCAGUCUUUCUUGGUCGUGUGGCUUGGUGAACAGCUUCCAUGGUUCGAGACGAGCGGCUACAUUGAAGAUAUUUCAGCAAUGACGAUAAAGGCGGAUUUUUGUUCUUCAACAUUCAUGGCCUGGUAGACGAAGCCUUCGAAUGGUGAGCGUAUGCUUUUCUCUAGCAGUGACCGUCUGGGCUUUCCCGUUCGGCUCUGCAACAACGGGGCUCAGUUAAGGGAGUGUCAGCGGGACGUAAAAGUUGUUUCGCUGUAGCUAAGCUAGACAGAUGAAGAUGGCAAGCUUCAAGAGGAGCUACGCGCCUUUGUCUUCGAGUAGCUUUAAGUUAGGCUUAACUGGGCCCACAUUUCGUUCGUCACAGAGCAACGGUCUCCAUGUGGAUGCUGACGCAGUUGCGCUCUGACGAACGGAAUGCUUUUUCUUGCGUCAACUGAAGAGGAACUCCGCGUUUCAGUUCGUAAGCCAAAUGGGUGUUACGGCAAAGGUAAGCACGAACUUCUGUAUCCACCUUCGAUUCCAAUUCCAUCGUCGUUAGGGUUAGCUUACGGUCGCGGUGUUAGGCGUGUGAUUCGUCGUGGCGUUUCUACGUUUUCUUCGCACGUUUUACUUUCUCGUUAUGAAUGUUCCUUUUGAAAAUAAAGUGUGUACUUCGUCGUAUGUCCAUUUCCUUGCUAUCCCCUUGACGCAAACAUUCACUAGCUUACACUUGAGGCAGUGACACUGCGACCACCCCCAGUUGAUAUUCUUGCUUUGUCAUUUCGUUGCAUAAGUAUGUAUUGCACUUGAUUAUUGCAAUAAAUGCUUGGUUCCUUAUUUCGGCUUUCUUGUUAAUCAGUCCCCCGGUACGCAAACAUGCACUAGCUUACUGGUUGAGGCAGGUACAUUUUGAAUGCCCACUUUGCCUUCCAGAAGGUCGCUCAUCUACUGUACCACAGUCCUUCACCCAAGUCGAUCCAAGAACCUCGUGAAGUAUAUUGUCGUGUUUUGUAGUGAUAUUUGCUAAUUCUUCGCUUCUAUCUGCAGGCGCUGACCCCUAUGGUGAGGACACAGGAACCAUUGAAUCCCGUCGUGUGCUCUUCAUUCCUGAAAGAAUGGCGGUUAACUGGUGAAGAUUCAUCAUACAAGCCUUCGUGUCGCGUUGGUCUUGUCUUCCUCAAGCUCAAGGUUUUAUGUAUGGUGUUGCUUUCCAUUGUUGGUUGCGAAAUAAAUAUAUAUCGAGAAA